rnacentral:misc_RNA from 1 species
AACUUUCGGCAAUGGAUCUCUUGGCUCUAGCAUCGAUGAAGAACGCAGCGAAAUGCGAUAAGUAGUGUGAAUUGCAGAAUUCAGCGAACCAUCGAAUCUUUGAACGCACCUUGCGCCCGCCGGUAACCCGGCGGGCACGCCUGUCCGAGCGUCGUCAGAAUCUCUCGAGCCCUAGAGCUCGGCGUUAGGGGAACGUCCCGCCUUAUAGUGACGGCGACGCCCCUAAAAUUUAGUGAGCAGUGCCCGCCCUAGGGGCCUCCCGCGUAGUAAAUAACUGCCCUAAUCCUUUACCGGACGACGGCACGCGCCGAGAAACCAGGGCAUACGCUAGCCGUAAGUUAUCUUUAGCACAGUCUGACCUCGGAUCAGGUGGGAAUACCCGCUGAACUUAAACAUAUCAAUAAGCGGAGGCU